UCGGGAAUAUUGCGCAAUGGAGGAAACUCUGACGCAGUGACGCCGCGUAUAGGAAGAAGGUUUUCGGAUUGUAAACUAUUGUCGUUAGGGAAGAUACAAGACAGUACCUAAGGAGGAAGCCCCGGCUAACUAUGUGCCAGCAGCCGCGGUAAUACAUAGGGGGCAAGCGUUAUCCGGAAUUAUUGGGUGUAAAGGGUGCGUAGACGGAGGAGCAAGUUGGUUGUGAAAUCCCUCGGCUUAACUGAGGAACUGCAACCAAAACUACUUCCCUUGAGUGUCGGAGAGGAAAGUGGAAUUCCUAGUGUAGCGGUGAAAUGCGUAGAUAUUAGGAGGAACACCAGUGGCGAAGGCGACUUUCUGGACGAUAACUGACGUUGAGGCACGAAAGUGUGGGGAGCAAACAGG
rnacentral:rRNA from 1 species